GGCUCCAACGCCGGCCGGGCGGCCGGCUCGCUUUGAGAGCGCCGCCGGGCUGCGGAGGCGGCUCCCGCGGGUGGAGUAAAAGCCUUGCCCUUCGCGCGUUUCCCCGGCCGGCGGACGGACUAGGAGGAGCGGGUGGUGGAGAGCGGGCGGACGGCGUCCCGUGGCGGGCUCCGGGCUCCUUCCUCGGCCGCCGCUGAGCCUGGAGUGGCCCGGAGCCCGGCCGUGUCCGCCUCUUGGAUCGCCGCAGCCCUUUCAGCACCACCCGAGCUGGACAGCGCCUGCCGCAUGGAGAACGGUCCGGGGACGGCCGGCUCAGCCCAGCCGCCUGCAACGGCUUCGGGCUCGGUCGCCUUCGCUGCGGCUCUCCUUGCUCCGGCUUCGGAUGCGGCUCCCGCUGCGGCUCCGUCGUCUUCUUCUUCGGCCGUGGGCGGCGAGCUGGAGCUGGCGCUGGAGGAGGAGCUGGCCAUGCUGGCUUCGGCCGGGGAAGGGCCCGGGGAAAACGAGCCGCCAGGCCCCGCGGCUUCCCCAGCCGAGCCGGAGCUGCUGCUGUCGCAGAUGAGGCAGAAGGAGAAAGAUUUGGUGCUGGCCGCCCGGUUGGGCAAAGCCUUGCUGGAGCGGAACCAGGACAUGAGCCGCCAAUACGAGAGGAUGUACAAGGAGUUGACCGACAAGCUGGAGCACCUGGAACAAGAGAAACACGAGCUCAGGAGACGCUUCGAGAACAAGGAAGGCGAGUGGGAAGGCCGAGUGUCGGAGCUGGAGAGCGACGUCAAGCAGCUGCAGGAUGAGCUAGAGAAACAGCAGGUUCACCUGCGGGAAGCUGACCGGGAGAAGACGCGGGCGGUCCAGGAACUAUCUGAACAGAACCAAAGACUCUUGGACCAGCUCAGCAAGACGUCGGAAGCGGAAAGAAAGCUUUCCACACAGGUUCAUGUCCUCCAAGAGGACUUCAGGGAGAAGAGGUCAUCCACCAACCAGCACAUAGUACGACUUGAGAGCCUUCAAGCAGAGCAAAUCUUGGAAAUUAAGAUGCUGAGGGAUCGGAAGCAAGACCUGGAGCGCCGGCUCAGCGCCAUGAUGGAGGAGAACAACCUUCUCCAGGGGACGGUGGAAGAACUUCAAGACCGUGUCUUAAUUUUGGAACGGCAAAGCCAUGAAAAAGACCUGCAGUUGCACCAGAGCCAGCUGGAACUUCAAGAGGUGAGACUGUCCUAUCGGCAGCUGCAGGUCAAGAUGGAGGAGCUGAAUGAGGAACGAAGCCUCCAAGACUUCAACUCCACCAGAAUGUCUUUGCUGUCGGAGAUCGAACAGAGCAUGGAAGCAGAAGAGCUGGAACAAGAGCGGGAGCAGUUGAGGUUGCAGCUUUGGGAGGCCUAUUGCCAAGUCCGUUACUUGUGUACGCACCUCAGAGGGAACGACAGUGCGGAUUCUGCCGUCUCCACAGACUCUUCCAUGGACGAGUCUUCAGAAACCUCCUCAGCCAAAGACGUUCCGGCCGGCAGCUUGAGGGCUGCACUCAGCGAAUUGAAAAGGCUGAUCCAAAGCGUGAUUGAUGGCACGGAUUCCCCGGGCUCUCGGAGAAGUGAUGACGAUGCUUUGGAGGAACAGAUCAAGCAAACGAGUGAAGAUUCCAGAGCCCUGAGGGAGUUAAUGGAAGGCGAACGGGGGAAACUGAGGCAGAGUCUGGAAGAGCUACAGCAGCUUCACAGCCAGGUGACUCUGUUGAGUGUAGAAAUGACUUCGCUGAAAGAGGAAAGAGAUCGACUCCGGGGAUCGGCGGAAGAUAAGGAGAUGAGCGAGCAGCUCUUGAAGGCUAUCCGAGACCGAGAUGAAGCCAUUUCUAAGAAGAACGCUGUUGAGAUGGAGCUGGCCAAAUGCAGAAUGGACAUGAUGUCGCUGAACAGCCAGCUGUUGGACGCCAUUCAACAGAAGCUUAAUCUUUCGCAGCAGCUGGAAGCGUGGCAGUUUGCUUCUUCAGGCCUUUUCACUAUUUGGCUUCUUUGGUUUCUGAUCUAGUGGCCUUUAUCACUUCCCGUAACAACAGCUUUAGUCGUACACCCCUCCUGCCUUUAAGGAUGACAUGCAGAGGCUCAUCGACCAGCAGCUGAUGGACAGACAUCCUAAGGAAUGGAGCCAGACGAUGAUGUACACCACCAGCAGCUAUGGAGCCAAGCGGCGCACCCGG